rnacentral:rRNA from 1 species
UACGGAGGGUGCGAGCGUUGUCCGGAAUCAUUGGGCGUAAAGGGCGCGUAGGUGGCCCGGUCAGUCCGUGGUGAAAGCGCGGGGCUCAACCCCGCGUCGGCCAUGGAUACUGCUGGGCUGGAGCACUGUAGAGGCAGGCGGAAUUCCGGGUGUAGCGGUGGAAUGCGUAGAGAUCCGGAAGAACACCGGUGGCGAAGGCGGCCUGCUGGGCAGUUGCUGACACUGAGGCGCGAAAGCCAGGGAGCAAACGGG